UAUCUUGACUGUGCAAAGGUAGCCUAAUAAUUAGUCUUUUAAUUGAAGGCUUGUAUGAAUGGAUAAAUGAAAAAUUUGUUUUAUUAUUAUUAUGGUUUUAAUUUAAUUUUUAAGUAAAAAAGCUUAAAUUUUUGAUUGGGACGAUAAGACCCUAUAGAACUUUAUUAUUAAUUAUUAUUUUAUUAUUUUAGUUUAUUUAGUUAUUCAAUUUAAUUAAUUUUUUUGUUGGGGGGACAAAUAAAUUUAUACUUUAUUUUUUUUAUUCAUUUUAUUAAUGUUUUUUUAGAUCCAUUUAUUUGAUUUUAAGAUUAAGUUACCUUAGGGAUAACAGCGUAAUUUUGAUGGAGAGUUCUGAUCUAUAUCAUAGUUUGCGACCUCGAUGUUGAAUUAAGAUAAGAUUGACGGGUAG
rnacentral:rRNA from 1 species